rnacentral:miRNA from 1 species
CCCGCGCAGCCCGGCCGCAGCG